rnacentral:rRNA from 1 species
UGGGGAAUUUUGGACAAUGGGCGAAAGCCUGAUCCAGCAAUGCCGCGUGUGUGAAGAAGGCCUUCGGGUUGUAAAGCACUUUUGUCCGGAAAGAAAUCCUUGGCUCUAAUACAGUCGGGGGAUGACGGUACCGGAAGAAUAAGCACCGGCUAACUACGUGCCAGCAGCCGCGGUAAUACGUAGGGUGCAAGCGUUAAUCGGAAUUACUGGGCGUAAAGCGUGCGCAGGCGGUUUGCUAAGACCGAUGUGAAAUCCCCGGGCUCAACCUGGGAACUGCAUUGGUGACUGGCAGGCUAGAGUAUGGCAGAGGGGGGUAGAAUUCCACGUGUAGCAGUGAAAUGCGUAGAGAUGUGGAGGAAUACCGAUGGCGAAGGCAGCCCCCUGGGCCAAUACUGACGCUCAUGCACGAAAGCGUGGGGAGCAAACAGGAUUAGAUACCCUGGUAGUCCACGCCCUAAACGAUGUCAACUAGUUGUUGGGGAUUCAUUUCCUUAGUAACGUAGCUAACGCGUGAAGUUGACCGCCUGGGGAGUACGGUCGCAAGAUUAAAACUUAAAGGAAUUGACGGGGUCAUAGCUG